rnacentral:rRNA from 1 species
GACGAACGCUGGCGGCGUGCUUAACACAUGCAAGUCGAACGGAAAGGCCCUGCUUUUGUGGGGUGCUCGAGUGGCGAACGGGUGAGUAACACGUGAGUAACCUGCCCUUGACUUUGGGAUAACUUCAGGAAACUGGGGCUAAUACCGGAUAGGAGCUCCUGCUGCAUGGUGGGGGUUGGAAAGUUUCGGCGGUUGGGGAUGGACUCGCGGCUUAUCAGCUUGUUGGUGUGGUAGUGGCUUACCAAGGCUUUGACGGGUAGCCGGCCUGAGAGGGUGACCGGCCACAUUGGGACUGAGAGACGGACCAGACUCCUACGGGAGGCAGAAGUGGGGAAUAUUGCACAAUGGGCGGAAGCCUGAUGCAGCAACGCCGCGUGCGGGAUGACGGCCUUCGGGUUGUAAACCGCUUUCGCCUGUGACGAAGCGUGAGUGACGGUAAUGGGUAAAGAAGCACCGGCUAACUACGUG